GAUGAACGCUGGCGGCGUGCCUAACACAUGCAAGUCGAGCGGAGAAUUGUUGCUUGCAACAAUUCUUAGCGGCGGACGGGUGAGUAACACGUGGGUAACCUGCCCUAAACAAAGGGAUAACAAUGAGAAAUCAUUGCUAAUACCGUAUAAGCUUACACUAUCGCAUGAUAGAGUAAGAAAAGAUUUAUCGGUUUAGGAGGGGCCCGCGUCUGAUUAGCUAGUUGGAGAGGUAACGGCUCACCAAGGCGACGAUCAGUAGCCGACCUGAGAGGGUGAUCGGCCACAUUGGGACUGAGACACGGCCCAAACUCCUACGGGAGGCGGCAGUGGGGAAUAUUGCACAAUGGAGGAAACUCUGAUGCAGCAACGCCGCGUGAAGGAAGAAGGUUUUCGGAUCGUAAACUUCUAUCUACAGGGAAGAAAAAAAUGACGGUACCUGAGGAAGAAGCCCCGGCUAACUACGUG
rnacentral:rRNA from 1 species